UACGAAGGGGGCUAGCGUUGCUCGGAAUCACUGGGCGUAAAGGGUGCGUAGGCGGGUCUUUAAGUCAGGGGUGAAAUCCUGGAGCUCAACUCCAGAACUGCCUUUGAUACUGAGGAUCUUGAGUUCGGGAGAGGUGAGUGGAACUGCGAGUGUAGAGGUGAAAUUCGUAGAUAUUCGCAAGAACACCAGUGGCGAAGGCGGCUCACUGGCCCAGUACUGACGCUGAGGUGCGAAAGCGUGGGGAGCAAACAGG
rnacentral:rRNA from 1 species